rnacentral:rRNA from 1 species
CCUACGGGAGGCAGCAGUGGGGAAUAUUGCGCAAUGGACGAAAGUCUGACGCAGCGACGCCGCGUGAGGGAUGAAGGUUUUCGGAUCGUAAACCUCUGUCAGGAGGGAAGAAAGCGCAUGGCGCCAAUCAGCAAUGCGUUUACGGUACCUCCAAGGGAAGAGCCGGCUAACUCCGUGCCAGCAGCCGCGGUAAUACGGAGGGCGCGAGCGUUAAGCGGAAUUGCUGGGCGUAAAGGGUGCGUAGGCUGUUGUGUAAGUUGGGGGUGAAAUCCCACGGCUCAACCGUGGAACAGCCCUUGAUACUGCGCGACUUGAAUCCAGGAGGGGGUGGCGGAAUUCCAGGUGUAGGAGUGAAAGCCGUAGAUAUCAGGAGGAACAUCAGUGGCGAAGGCGGCCACCUGGACCGGUAUUGACGCUGAGGCGCGAAAGCGUGGGGAGCAAACAGGAUUAGAUACCCCUGUAGUC